UAAAAUUUUUUGACACCUGUUAACUGUAAAAUAUAUUUUGAAUCAAAUACGUUCAGCAGUGCCAAAACAGUGAAAGCAACUGCUGCUCACAGUUUGUACUACCAUUUGAAUUGACUGACUACUGACUUCCUAGUGCUGACUAACUAACAUUCGAAACCUCUUGUAUAUAAAACAGCUCAUAAAAAUUGUAUAAAAGAGAUAGAUUUAGACCAUAAAAAAAGACUGUUCUUGAGGCGAAUAUGUUUAGCAAAGCCACUUGUGUUUCGAAUGAGAUAGUGCCAUACUAUGUACCCUCUUAGCAAUGAGUUAAUGUCGGCAAUUUACUACACUACAUUAUGGUGCACCAAGUUAUACUAUCAAGGACAAGAUCCAUUGAUUGAUAUAAUUUCCGAAUAUAUUCGCAGGUAUCGGAUUUAAGAAAGUUAUUAAAUCGAAUUUAU